AGUCGAACGGCAGCACGGGAGCAAUCCUGGUGGCGAGUGGCGAACGGGUGAGUAAUAUAUCGGAACGUGCCCAGUCGUGGGGGAUAACGUAGAGAAAUUUACGCUAAUACCGCAUACGAUCUAAGGAUGAAAGCGGGGGAUCGCAAGACCUCGCGCGAUUGGAGCGGCUGAUAUCAGAUUAGGUUGUUGGUGAGGUAAAAGCUCACCAAGCCGACGAUCUGUAGCUGGUUUGAGAGAACGACCAGCCACACUGGGACUGAGACACGGCCCAGACUCCUACGGGAGGCAGCAGUGGGGAAUUUUGGACAAUGGGCGAAAGCCUGAUCCAGCAAUGCCGCGUGCAGGAAGAAGGCCUUCAGGUUGUAAACUGCUUUUGUACGGAACGAAACGGUCUGCCCUAAUACGGCGGGCUAAUGACGGUACCGUAAGAAUAAGCACCGGCUAACUACGUGCCAGCAGCCGCGGUAAU
rnacentral:rRNA from 1 species